CCCUGCCGCGAUCGCCUGUGAAAAGAGCGGGGGGGUAGAGGUGGGGUUGGCUGAGAUCGCUUCCUCUUGGUCCGAGGACUGGCAGAGCCUCGGGCAUGCACCCAGGUUUGACGGUGACUUUUUAUUUUUCUUCAGUUUUGACAAGGAAACUGUGAAGCGAAAGAACUAAACAGGAAGGUGGGCCCGUUUUUUUUAGGAGAGUCAAGUGCAAAAGCAGAAGCUUCAAGUGUUAAACUCCCCAGGCAGGGCAGGGCUGGUGGUCUGUUCCCUUCAUCCCCCGUCACGCUGAGUGACAGACGGUAAUGUAGACGCGGCUGAUUUCUGAUAUGAAUAUCCAGUUCUAUAGAGAAACAGUUGUUAGUAGUGGACCAUGUAAAGCCUGGAAAAUCAACUUCCCAAUAUAUCUGCUUCUUCCAUUGGUUAUAAAUUAAGAUGGCUAAGUUCGAAGAAAUUGUGAUAUUAAAAAGGAAAUUUUAACUGGAUGCUUUUAAGAUAUGUACACUUAAGUUAUAGGAUUCAACUUUUUUGACUGUGCUGCCCAGCUUUCGGAAUCUUAGUUCCCAGACCAGGACUAGCACUGUGCCGUCUGCAUCGAAAACCACCAGGCAUUCCCAGACUCAACUCUUGAUGAAUUCAGAAUGUAUUGCUGCCACUGAGAAGUUACGUGUUGUCCUCAGAAACAAAGAUGACUCUCCAGCAUCUGUAUGGCAUAUGUAUUUUCAGAGGGAGAAUGGAUCUGUGCCAGUUCUCUGUUUGAACUUCUGGUUAAGAAGGUUAUAGUUUUGGCUGGCCUGAAUUAAAGGAACUGAAGUAGCGCAAGUUUAGGUGACCUAUACCAAGUUCCCAGUGAGUCAUCAGUGAAACUGGCACAUGGAAUUCAGAGCUCUCCUCACUGACUUUUAUGUUGCAGCUGUUGGGAGACCAAGGGAUGUAAGUCAGAUGACCUACUUGCAAAUAACUGCAGAAAGAACAAAGAAGUUGCAGACCCAUUCAAAUGGUGUCAAGGAUGAAUUAGCUCAGAAUAGUUCUGAAGAAAAGAAAACUAUCGAGGUCAAAGUGUGCAUUGAAAUAUUGAUGAAUUCCCCUCUCCUAUUAAAUCAUUAAAGAUCUAGUAAACGACCCAGGGAUCAAACUGGGGAUCUCCUGCACUGCAGGCAGAUUCUUUACCA